CUACGGGUCGCUCCAGUGAGGAAUAUUGCACAAUGGGGGGAACCCUGAUGCAGCAACGCCGCGUGGAGGAUGACGCAUUUCGGUGUGUAAACUCCUUUUAUAUGUCAAGAAAAUGACGGUAGCAUAUGAAUAAGCACCGGCUAACUCCGUGCCAGCAGCCGCGGUAAUACGGAGGGUGCAAGCGUUACUCGGAAUCACUGGGCGUAAAGGACGCGUAGGCGGGUUGGAAAGUCAGGUGUGAAAUCCUACAGCUUAACUGUAGAACUGCACUUGAAACUUCUAAGCUAGAGUAUGGGAGGGGGAGAUGGAAUUAGUGGUGUAGGGGUAACAUCCGUAGAUAUCACUAGGAAUACCUAAAGCGAAGGCGAUCUCCUGGAACAUUACUGACGCUAAGGCGUGAAAGCGUGGGGAGCAAACAGGAUUAGAUACCCCUGUAGUC
rnacentral:rRNA from 1 species